rfam:Enterococcus devriesei strain DSM 22802 Scaffold2, whole genome shotgun sequence.
GAAUGACACGAGGGGUGCUUAUUGAAGCUGAGAUCAUACCCAUUGAACCUGAUACAGUUAGGACUGGCGCAGGGAAAGUGUGUUUUAUUGACG